rnacentral:tRNA from 1 species
UCUUCCAUAGCUCAGUUGGCUAGAGCGUCUGACUGUUAAUCAGGAGGUCGUAAGUUCGAGCCUUACUGGAAGAG